AACGUAAUGGCAAAGGUUUUCUUCUCUUCACCGAUGACUUCAAAUUCACGUAACCCUUCGCUAAAGACAGCCAUGCCGUUACGCCCUUCCUGUAAGGCAACAUAGUUGAGCAUAUUCCAUACCGGAACCGGCGCUUCUUUCCAGCCUUCUUGCUGCCAGUUGUUCAUUGCACUGUCGUUCACGGGGCGCGUUAGCGAACCAAACUGCGUAUCUGCCAGAACACUGUCGGUGUUAAAAGGUGUAGGGACCAGGACACGAAGGCGAUGAUCGUCAGCCUGGUUAUCAAGAUUGAUAUCCACAUCAAUACGCCUGCUGUUAUGACUAAGAGUGACAACCAACACCACCCCUACUCUGCCAGUGGAUUGCCGGGCGCUGCGUUCUUCAUCGAUG
rnacentral:misc_RNA from 1 species